rnacentral:tRNA from 1 species
GUGGGUAUGGCGUAGCUGGUUAACGCGCCAGAUUGUGGAUCUGGAGAUCGUGGGUUCGAAUCCCACUCCCCACCCCA